GUUCCAAUAGUUCAGCUGGAUAGAACGCUAGCCUCCGACGCUAGAAAUCACAGGUUCGAAUCCUGUUUGGAACACCA
rnacentral:tRNA from 1 species